rnacentral:lncRNA from 1 species
CAGGUGAGCUGCUUAUCUCUGUGUGUCAUAUCCGUUUGGCUACCUGGAAGCCCCUUCUACACCAACAGUUCCUGCUUACUUGGGACAGCUAAUAUAUCCUCUAGUCCAAGCCCUCAACUCACGACCACAGGUCUCAACGUAACAGGUGUGGACUCUCUGAACAACUUGACAGCUUGCUCCCAGCCGGACGGUUCUCGAAUCUCUGUCUGGGUCAUGUUAAUAGGCAUCGUCACGGCUAGGUUUGGUCUGUGGACGGCCGAUCUGACCAUCAUCCAACUCUUCCUGGAAAGCGUCCGGCCCACAGAACGUGGAAUCGUCAACGGUUUCCAGAGCUCUCUCAACCAGCUUAUGGACUUCUUCAAGUACGCCCUCGUCGUGGCCAUACCGUACCCUCCGCAGUUUUGGUUGCUCAUCCUCAUCUCCUUCACCUUCAUCUGCAGCGGGUGGACGUGCAUGUCGGUGUACGCCCUCAAGUCGUCCAGGAGGAAGACAGAAGAGAGCGGCGUUAGGCUAGAAAGGCAUGCAAGACUUGAGAGAGAAUCGGACAGGGUUUGAUGGAUGAAGCUUUACCGUGCAGUUCAGAGAAUGAACUAUCUGUAAGGGUUUUUAAUUAUGUAAUAUUUUUACUUGUAUUGCAAUACAAGAUACCACUUACAUAAUAGCUUCUUAAAACUCAUUAGACUUUCAAUCCUCUUGAGCCAUAGGCAGAGAUAACAUUUUGUUUACAAAGUUAGAAUUUUCCAUAUGUAAUAUUUGUCACUUCAGGGCAGCAUGUAAUGUAUUAUAUGAGAUUCGCAAUGGUCUAUUCUAUUGAUUUUUCCUGAAUCAUAGUCAGAAAAAGCAUUUAGCCCGACUAAGACUUAUAUCAACAAACGGUUAAUUCGUGGUUGAUUUUGAUAUAACAUAGCAUUUGUGAUCAUUUUCAUGUUAUGAGUUUUAUAUUAUGAAAUCUUAGUCAUAGAAAAUACUAGAUAAGGGUCCGUUAAGGGAAGCUUUAACUGAUGUGUAAGGCGUAUUAUAAUAUUUUCUUUAGACAAUGAGACUUUUGCAGCAUAAAGAAAGAGGGUUUUUUUAAAAAGUAAAAGACAUUUCUAUUAAAUUGCCGAAACUUAGUAAGGCCUUACUACAAUUAUGAUAAAUGCAUUUCAGGUCAGUUGAGUUAAGCAUUUGCAGUUGUAGACAUACACAUAUUUUUAAAAAGCUUUAACGCUUCUAAUGGAGCAAAGGCAAGGAUAGCUUCACGGUUGAGACAGAUUAUUAUGCUUUCUAUUUCUAAAAUGUUAUGGGACUUAAACUGGUGAUCAUUAAGUGAUAUAAGUCUUAUUACAUUCCAUUUUAGCUGUAAGACAAUUAUUUAAAAUCCCAGGCAGAGAAAUUAUGAACUAUGAUUGCACUCACUAACUGCAAAAAGUUAUUAAUGUCUAUGCUUUUUGGUUCAGUUCUUGAAAGCACUUACUAAAAUAUAGGACAUAUAAUACUAAACGUAGUUAAAGUUUUAACCACUCUGUUGGAAGGCAGUCAAAGAACGCAUUUAUUAUAAUUGAGAAAGGUUAUAACAUUUUUUUUAAAGUCAUGGGACUUAUUAGUAUGCAUCAUAAGUCAAAGAAAGUAUGAAGUAUGAUUGAGAUUUAAUUUUUGAAUUGAGAAAGCGACCCCAAGGAAAAACUUAAUUUACUUAAUAAUGAUUUCUAUGUAUUAACGAUCAUUUCAUAUAUGUAUCUGAUAUGACAAACGAUUUGUGAUAUUUGUAAAUUAAAAAUAAUAAAUAUAGAAUCACUAUACAGAAUUGCACAAUUUCUGGAAGUAGUGAUUGCACCGCAUCAA